UACGUAGGAUGCAAGCGUUGUCCGGAAUUAUUGGGCGUAAAGAGCGCGCAGGCGGUGUAUCAAGUCAGAUGUGAAAUGUCCCGGCUUAACCGGGAAGGGUCAUUUGAAACUGGUAGACUAGAGUACAGCAGAGGAUAGCGGAAUUCCCGGUGUAGUGGUGAAAUGCGUAGAUAUCGGGAGGAACACCAGUGGCGAAGGCGGCUAUCUGGGCUGAAACUGACGCUGAGGCGCGAAGGCUAGGGGAGCAAACAGG
rnacentral:rRNA from 1 species